CUUAGCCACACUUCCGCUGGCUGUGACUGCUAGAAGAAAAAAUGGUUCUAUUUUCAAUCAGAUGUUAAUUACUUUAGAAGUUUUUAUCUUUCUCUGUAAAUUAAAGUUUAAUUACAUGCAGGAGGCUCCUGCAAAGACAGUCUAUUUGCAUAGCAGGAGAUACAAAAUUAAAUCUAAAUUUAACACAUUGUGCAUUAAAUGUAAAUAUUAGAUCUCUCUUCACAAGAAGUGUUAUGGAAGGCUGUGUAAGUCAGAUGCAGGGAGGUGUGACUAGGGCUGUAUAAACAAAGUGAUUUAAUUCCUAAAAAGCAGAGAA